rnacentral:ncRNA from 1 species
AGAAGAAAACGCCAAAAUUGGAGCGAUCCAAUGACGGAAAACUACAGGGUCUCCAGAAGACAGCCAGUUGCCUUU